rnacentral:rRNA from 1 species
CCUUCAUAAGGUGAAACCGCGAACGGCUCAUUAUAACAGCUAUAAUUUACUAGACCUUGAGCAACUACUUGGAUACCUGUGGUAAUUCUAGAGCUAAUACAUGCACCGAAGUUGUUCCUUGCGGAGCAAUGCAUUUAUUUGAGCAAAACCAGGCGGCUUCGGCCGUUUCUGUUGAUUCAGAAUAACUAAGCUGAUCGUAUGGGCUUGUCCCGACGACGUGUCUUUCAAGUGUCUGCCUUAUCAACUUUCGAUGGUAGUGUACGUGACUACCAUGGUGUUGACGGGUAACGGAGGAUAAGGGUUCGACUCCGGAGAAGGGGCCUGAGAAAUGGCCACUACGUCUAAGGAUGGCAGCAGGCGCGCAAAUUACCCACUCUCGGUUCGAGGAGGUAGUGACGAAAAAUAACAAGGCCGUUCUCUUUGAGGCCGGCCAUUGGAAUGGGUACAACUUAAACCCUUUAACGAGUAUCAAUGAGAGGGCAAGUCUGGUGCCAGCAGCCGCGGUAAUUCCAGCUCUCAAAAUGCAUAGAACCAUUGCUGCGGUUAAAAAGCUCGUAGUUGGAUCUGUGCCGGCGACGUGGUCCGCCCUAACCGGCGGUACUGCGCUCGUCGGCUUUGGGCCGGUCUUCGGUCGGUCGCCUUAACUGGUGGCCGCUCGUGGCUGGCUGGUUUACUUUGAGCAAAUCAGAGUGCUCAGCACAGGCGUCUCGCCGGAAUGUUCGUGCAUGGAAUAAUAGAAAAGGAUUUCGGUCCUCUUUUAUUGGUUUUGUGGACUGAGAUAAUGGUUAACAGAGACGGACGGGGGCAUUCGUAUUGCUGCGUGAGAGGUGAAAUUCUUGGACCGCAGCAGGACGGACUACAGCG